rnacentral:rRNA from 1 species
UAGGGAAUUUUCCACAAUGGACGCAAGUCUGAUGGAGCAACGCCGCGUGAGUGAAGAAGGUCUUCGGAUCGUAAAGCUCUGUGUUGGUGAAGAAGGAUAGAGGCAGUAACUGGUCGUUAUUGACGUAU